rnacentral:lncRNA from 1 species
AGGGCCCCUCUGUCCCUAUAUACGGCGCCCCAUCGUGCCUCAAUCCAAGCACUGAGUCGCACCCCCGUCGUGGAAAGGGAACAACAUCGCCCCCAACACCGAGAGAGAUAGGGGGAUCUGCCGCACGAGCAUCCUGCAGGGAUCACCGCUCUGGGCUGGACAGAUGGUCAAGGCAAGUCUCCAGAGCACGUACGUUCGUGACCUCAUAUGGUGAGGUUGGUGGAUGGGAGCAUGGUUGUUUCUCACCGAAGUUUCCCUCCGCCAAGGAAAGCCCCCUGCCGCGGGCCGGCGUUGCUGCUUCACCACUGUCGGUGAGUCCUCCUUCCACGUGUUCGCCAUCAACUCCUCAGCACGUAGUCGUGAUAGAUUUGGAAUAGGAGCACCAGGGCGUGGAAUUAGUGUACGCCGGCGGGAGAACCGCCGUGGGGCUCGCUUCUGCCGCCGCGGUGGUGUCGUGGGAAGAAGUGAGGAUACCAGCCAUUGAUCCCUUCGCGGACGGAUGAGAUUAUAACAUAGUCUUCUGCUUCGAUCGAUUAGAUCCGGGGCGUUGAAUCGGGAACCGGUGGUUGAGAUUAGAACGUCUUCAUACCCUUUCACGUUUUUAAUCCAGACCACAUAUCUGCUAUCUGAUGGCCCAGGCGCGAUCGGAUAAGAUGGUCGUGUGAGUUUUAUUAGCCCCUAGGUUUUGUCUUAUUCGACCCGCGGUCUGGGUAUGGUCUGGGUAUGCAUAAAGAAUAGAACAAAUAGGUCCAAGUAUUUUCAAAACAGACCCUGUACUUUUUAGAAAUAGAACCCACCAUCCUACUAUUGAUUAAAUGGAUAAAAUAAGUCAAAGGAAAUUCAGAAAAAAACUUUAAUAAUGAUUUUCAAGAGUAAAAUUAAUAUAAGAAAUACCUAUACACUUAGAAAAUUCAUAACUUAUACAUUGUAACUCGGAUUUUAGUGGUUCUCUAACCUACGAUCUCAUAGCGACGUGUAGAAUAUUUUUACACAGUCUAUUCUCAUGUAUGAUGUAAUGUUAAUUUUACCUAUUCCUUGUCUAUCUAUGUGUAUUGGUACGAGUAGAACCGAGAUCAUGUAAAGCCCAAAAUAUAUAUAAGGGAAAAAUAAUAAAAUAAAUAAAUGAACAUGUUUAUAAGUGGGUGUUUUGGGAUUAUGGAACCUUUGGAGAUUAUUUGGUUUUCUUUUAUUUAUGUAUAUUUAAUUAGUGGAAUUAUAUUGGUCAAAUAACAAAGAAAUAAAUACAGAAUUAUGCUAAAGUUUUUGUAUUUUUGCAUUUGUAUUCAAAUUUAUGAGACAAGUUUAACUUUAAAAAAAAUGGAAAGAGAAACAAGAAAGAGAAUGAAAUAGAAAUGGAAAAAGAAUAGACAUUACAAAGAAAAAUAUAUAUAAAUAAUUAUAAUUCUUCAUGCUAGCACUUUAUUUAUGCACUUGAUUUCUAUGACAAAUUUGAAUUCAAAUAUCAGAUUUUGAAAACAAAACAAGAAAAUAGAAACAAAUAAAGAAAAAGAAAAAGAAAAGGAAAAGGAAAAGGAAAAGGAAAACAGACUUUGGCCUCAAACCCUAGCAUACGACCCAACUAACCAUCUCUUUUUUCCACCGUGCAGCCCACUUAACACACCCACGCGACCUAGCACGGACAGAUGGGCCCAGGUCACCAGCGCCUCAUCUGAUCCGCGCGCGGAGCUGCGUUCACCGGUGUGACGCUGGCGCGUGGGGCCAUCUCGUCGGUUCCAUCUCCUACCCUAUAUUGAACUCGUCCUGUCUAUUACGAAGGAGCCGGAGCGAACAUCGCACCAAGAUACAGUCUGAUACCUGUGAUGCUUGCCUAGGAUCCCUCACGGGGUAUAAAACUAAGCCAUUCUCACGCCCGACCCUCCCUCAAACCUAAACGUCGAGACUGCGUCGUCGGUGAUGGGUGCGAGCGAGAGAGAUUGGCGCCGCUUGGCGCCGAAGGGCUGGGUGACCCGCUGUCCGCCGCCGAUCUCUGCCCGUGCGCCCGCUGCCCGGGGGACUUCAUCAUGGGGUCAGGAAGAGUCACCAGAGCCAGUGGUACAUGCACGUGGGGUGUUGUAUGUGCGACAUCGACCGGCAACAGAGGAAUUGCUCGUUGUCGCUUGAUGUUGCCGUAAAUCCGCCUCACAACGUGGAACUUCUCCUGGUAAGCCGGUCUGGGCGUGUGGGCUAGUCAGGGGGCUUCACGGACUCUCAUUGUUGGAGUUCAGGGUCGUAUGGGUCGCGAUGGUGCUCUGUGGCCCCACCAAUUGCUCGCCGAUGCCGAGCAGGCGCCACCGGACCGCCGUGUGCAUGGAUAGCUCACCACUCCAUCUUUGCCUCAGGUAAAUAACAAUCCAAUGCUUUACCCAUGUCUGGAGCAUCGUGUAGAACCAUUCUGGGUUGUGGAUUGAGCACCAGGGCGCCGAGUAGGACGUCUGUGGCGAAAACCCCAUCGUGGGGGCCUACGCGCCGCCAUCCUGCAAUGGUGAGGGAGAAGAAAGCUUUCUAGCCGUUGAUUCCUUGAUGUGCGGCUAGGAUCAUAUCGCUCGCAUAUCCUUUCGUGUAUUCUACGAUAUCCGUUAAGAUCUGAUCAGAUGGUUGAGAGGGGUUGUUUGUAUGGAGCAUUGCAGGCCGUGCAUCUUAGAUCGUACUAUCCACGUCGCUUACCGAUUCAUAAAAUAUCCCGAUCUAAUCUGAACCCUUGAAUCGCGAUCGCACGGUCUGGUUGAUCGAUACCCUUUCGGUCGUAUCCUUUUUGCAUAAGAGCCCCUGAGAUUUCUGAGAAUCAACCCGCCGUCCUGAUGCAGUGGUAGAAAAUUUAAUCUAUGCCCCUAAAACUUGUAGUUUGGCCCCUGAUCUCUUAAAGAAUGGCACCCUCAGUCUAGGACUUAUAGAAUUUAGUAAAAUAAAUCCGAAAAUGGAAUUUUAGUAUAAAAAUAAGUCUGGAAACCUUAGAAACUCAUAACUCCUUUAUUUUAACUCCUUUUUGAUCCAUUCCAGUUGCAUUAAUCUCAUAUUAAUAUUGUUUAUCAUAUAGUAACCUUGUAUUACCAUGAAAUCUAUGAUUAAAAUCUUGUACCUUUGCUUUAUAGUAGACACUUAAACUUUCGGAAAAUCAUAACUUUAUGACCGUAACUCCGAAUUUAGUGGUUCUCGAACCGGUGAUCUCGUUACGUUGCGUAGAACAUUAUUAUGCAUUAUGUUCUUAUGUUUAGUGUGAUGUUAAUUUUUCUUAUACCAUGUUUGUUUGUAUUGCUACGAAUAGCUGCGAGGUUACGAGUCACUUGAAGACCAAGUUGGUACCUGAGAAUCUUGAGUCUAAGGCAAAUUGUGCCCUUGAUCACUUUUCUCCUUACCCAAUAAUGUUCGUGUUAAUCAGUGUGACAUGCUUAGGUUAAUUUGAUGGAACCUAAUAGGUUUCCCUAGAUUUGUUUAUCCCACACCUUGUUUACCACUGAACUUUUGGGUAGUUUUGCUAUUGCUCUACCUGGUUUUGGGAUUAAUUUUACAUUAUGAUCAUGUUCUAGUUAUGUUAUUGUUUUAAUUAUUGUUCAUGACAAGAUCAUUGUGUUAAUUGGAACAUGGAGCUUAACUUGAGAUAUCCGUGCUACCACAAGGGUGGAAUGGGACGCCCUCGGCUGACUAAUUAAAAAGGUAGUAGAGGACUACCUUACCCAAAAGGGGCAAUGGCGGUAGAGGAGCUGCGUAUAGGGAAGUUCUCGGGUCGAUCAUGCUACGAUGGCUUUUCGGACGAGAGAUGCCUAUACUGCCUUUCUCAAAAACCGUAGCGGGUUUUCUGAAGCUAGUGGAACUUUGUAAAGGUCUCAUAGUGGAUCCCUAGCCAUUCACCUCGGAAGUGUCUAAGGGCCUUACAAACCCUGGCUAGACGGGAUACACGACUUGUGGGUAAAGGGCGCAACCUCUGCAGAGUGUAAAACUGGUAUAUCAGUCGUGCUCACGGUUAAGAGCGACUUAGGACUCUCGCAUGAUUAAUUUAUGGAACUAAACUUAAUUUGUCAUAUGCAUUGCAUUGUGGGUGUUGUUAUUAAUUUUGAUCUCAUAAUUAUUUGGGUUGGUAUCUACUUUUGCUUAGUAACUGCUAAUAAAAUUUUGACCAACUCUAAAAGCAAUGCUCAGCUUUAACCAUAUCCUUUGGUAAGUCUUACACUUCAUAUGAGCCCCCACCUUUGGUGAGUUCAUGCACAUUAUUCCCCACAACAUGUUGAGCGAUGAACGCAUGAAUGAUGUCGCGAUGAUGUUCGUGAGAGGUCUAGGUCGUCGUCUCCCAGUCAACUAUGGCUGCUGGAUCGUUGUCUUCAUAUGAUAUAAUUAUUUAAUUAUUUUGUACACAAUUCCCAUAUAUAUUAAAGAUUUGACAUUUGUUUAUUUACCAUGAGUCAUCAUACAGUUGGUGAAGUUCACGCCCGGGUUUGGUGCCCCUAAAACCCGGGUGUGAUAGGUCAUGAAGUACCUAAAGACCAAAUUGGAGAAGUACCUGGAGUUGUACCAAAGGAUUGUUGUGCCCUUGAUCACUUUUCUUUACUUGAUAAUCUUCUCGAUAAUCAUUGUGACAUGCUCAGGUUAACUUGAUGGGACCUAAUAGGUUACCCUAGUAUUGUUCACCCUACACCUUGCAAACAAAUGAACUAUUGGGUAGUCUUGCUAUUGCCAUACCUGAUUUUAGAAUUAAUAUUAUAUCUUAAUUAUGAUCAUGCUCCAUUAUUAUUGUUGGUUUAACUAUUGUUCAUGAUAAGAUUAUCGUGUUAAUUGGAACAUGGAGUGACCAUGUCACACCUGGUUUUAGAAGGCAAACCGAAUGCGAACCAUGUACGCGCCAGGAUCAGCAAUUCACGCACACAACAGUUACAUAACCGGACAUCAUCACAUAGUGCUCGAAUAAUAACAUAAAAGAUAGUAAUAGUCGAUUACACCAUGAUGUCCGAGACAUCCACAUAGUCUUUAACAAUUAUCAAAGUGCGAAAACAAAACGUAGAUACACACGGCCUUCACAGGCAGCCGACUGGGGGUUUGCCGCUAACUCACGCCUAGAACUCAUCGUACUUUUGGAACUCCUGGAGGUCUUCCUCCAUGACUUCAUCUUCUCCUGAGUAGUGGUAGCAACGUGGACAACCUGUGGGUUUGGUGUGUAAAGCAAGGGUGAGUACACAUCAACAUACUCAGCAAUUGUCCUAUUUGGCUGUAGUGGACUAGCUUUAUGUGGGGUUAAGUCAAGCAGUUGCUUUUAGUUGGUCAGGUUAUUAUUACUAGUAGAGAGCUAGGUUCUAGCAUUAGCCCAAGUUGUUAACUCAAAAGUACCCUUUCCAGACGGAAAGAAUACUAGAAACCAUUACCAUAAGCAUAAUCAAAAUCAUCAUCCUUGUCAUCACCUGUAAACCAAACAUCUCUGAUCAAUGUAUCUCUAAUCAAUAGAGCUCCCUUGGCCGCUCAUAACCACGAGCACGGCUGAUAUAUCAGUUUCAUAACACUUUGCAGAGGUUGCGCACUUUACCCACAAGCCGUGAUUCCCUUUUGCCUUGGGCCGAUCAAACCCUUAAACACUACCAAGGUGAAUAGGCAGGGUUUCACUACAUAGCCUUUACAAAGAUUCCCUGAGGCUAUAGCUGCCCGUUAGGUUUUCUAAAUGCAUCGUACUCCUCCCCAAGGGGCAAUCCACCCUCGGUAGAGCGAGCCGCAUACACCGAGCCCCACUGACGGCACGACGGCGAAGCGAACUACACCCAGUUUCUCUAAUUAUUCAGCUAAGGACGUCCCAUACCACCCUCAUGGUUGCACUGUUUUCUCGGGUGGUCAUCCAACGAACCAGUCCUUACGGAGAGGCACUCGACUAACCACUCGAGUCCCCUUAAAUGCCACAGUAUCAUCAUCAUAAUCAAAAAGGAAAACAACGUAUCAUAAAUAAUCUCAUCAUGUUCAUUGAUUAAUGUGAAGCAGUAGCAUAAAGCUAAACCAAAAUAACCUAACCCAAAUAGGUAAACAAGUACAAGAUAAACAAAAGCUAGUCAAUCCUUAGGUAUAAAUUGUGUAAAUGCGGGGAGUGAAUUAUAAAAUGAGUAGGACAUAGGUGGGUCAAGGGACACUUGCCUUCACCAACCAGCUGUUGCUGAGGGUCUUCACCUGCAACUCCUUUGGACUCCGCCAACUGACCGUUAUCUAUACGAGUUCAAACAUACAUUCCACAAAUUAAAUAUAAAAGGAACAAUACACCAGACAGUAAAAUGCGAUAAAUAAGCAUAUGCUCGGUGCAGGGCUUGCACCUACGACUAAGCGAGAAAGAGAAAGCGACGGUCGAGGCUACGAUAGAAGAGCGAUCACGUUAAGCGAUUAUAGAUUAAAGUACUUGUCUAAACAUAAUUGUAUUAAUUUGACAAUCACGUUAUGCAUAGAAUAAAGUUAUGCUACGCGUUUAAUUAUUAUGAACAAUUCAAGGUAAAUUAAAAAGGAUUGUCACGCGGUGAAACGCACGACAGCACACACGAACUAAACCGAAAAUAAAAUGAGUCGUCACGCGGCGAAGCGCGACACAACACUUAGACUGAACUGAAAUAAAAUGAAUCGUCGUGCGACGAAGCGCGCAACGAAACACUUGAAUAAAUUAUGAAAAUAACGUCAAACGUCGCACGACGAAGCGCACGACAGCAUACGUCACUUAAACUGAAGUUAAAACAAAACGUCGUGCGUCGAAACAUGCGACGUCUCACAUUAAAUAACCUAAACUUAAAUUGAAUCAUCGCGCGACGAAGCACGCGACAGCACAUUAAUAAAUCCAUAUUUUAACUAAAUCGUCGCGCGACGAAGCGCGCGUCGUAGCACGUUAAUUAAACUAAAUUUAAAAUUUCUUAAACUGAAAUUUAAACGUCGCGCGCUAGGGCUGCACGCGCGGGAACGCGCUGCGCGCGCGGCGGGGCAAGGGCGGGGGCAGGGGGCACCCCACCGUGCCAAGGGGCAGGGACGGGGGCCACGCGCCACCGCACCGAGGGGAGGGGCGGGGGUCGCGCUGCCGCGCUGAGGCGAGGGGCGGGGGGCCACGUCGCUGCGCCGAGGGGAGGGGUGGGGCCGCACCACCACGCCAAGGGGAGGGGCGGAGGGCCGCACGUCGCACCGAGGGAUCGGGGUGGGGCCGCAGGGGCUGCGCGACGAAGGGCAGGGACGGGGACGCCGCGCACACGGGGGGAAGGGAAAGGAAGGGAGGGAGAGAGAAGGAGAGAGGGAGAGGAGAGAGGGGAGGUCACCUUGGGACCCAAAAACCGGUGAUAACCGUCCACCGGAUCACCUAGGGCAAAGAGGUGGGAGAGAAGUGGAAGAGAGGGAGAGGGAGUUGCUACGCGGGAAAACCAAAUGAGUGAAAGGGAGAGGGGGGUGCGCAUGGGGGGUGUGGGGCGCCAGGGGCCGGGCCAGGCUGGGCUGGGUCGCGGGACGGGACGGAAGCCCACAACGCACACGACCACUGAUCGGAAUCCAAUACGAAUCGAAAUUCCAAACGAGACGAGAUGGACGUGCGAUUAAACAUAACAUCAGACAAUAGAAAAAUGCUCUGGCAUGAUGCAACACCCAUGUCAACUUAGGUUUUUGUUUACACGCGAUACGGGCACCCGUCGUUAUACUGCUUUGAAAAUGGGAAGAAGUAGCGAAACAGGAAGAGAAAAGAGAGUAACGCCUGAAUUUGGUGAGUAUCGAAGAAGAAAAAAAUGCUACCCUCAAAUUCAGGGCGUUACAAACCUAUCCCCCUUAAAAGAAUCUCACACUCGAGAUUCAAGGUUGGCCAGUAAAGAGUUCGGGAUACUUGGCCAUCAGAUCGUCUUCACGCUCCCAAGUUGCUUCUUUCUCAGAGUGGUGACCCCAUCUGACUUUGCACAUUCUGAUAGUUUUCCUCCGGGUGACUCUGUCUGCAGUCUUAAGAAUCUGCGUUGGCUUCUAUAUAUAGGUCAAGUCUUCCUGGACUUCUAGACCUUCCACUGGCAACUGCUCUUCUAGCACACGCAGACACUUCUUCAACUGAGACACAUGAAAGACAUCAUGCACCGCUGACAAAUCUUCUGGCAGACCGAGCUGAUAGGCCACUUCUCCACGCUUUGUGAGGAUCUGAUAUGGACCAACAUAUCGGGGGGCUAGCUUGCCCUUGACUCCGAAUCUUCUGACUCCUCUGAUACGCGACACCUUCAGGUAAACAAAAUCUCCGACUUCGAAACUCAGUUCUCUCCUUCUUGUGUCUACAUAACUUCGCUGCCUUGACUGCGCUAUCUUCAGAUUCUCCCGAACCAUCUUGAUAUUCUCUUCAUCUUCGAGAAAAAUGUCUGGCCCAAACACUUGCUUUUCUCCAGGCUGAUCUCAUUGCAACGGAGUUCUACAACUCCUUCCAUAAAGCGCCUGAAAUGGUGACAUCUUCAAGCUGGCCUGGUAACUGUUGUUAUAGGAGAAUUCUGCAUAAGGUAAUCUCUUGUCCCAUUCGGACUGAUCUUGCAGCGCACAGGCUCUCAACAUAUCUUCAAGGAUUUGAUUAGUUCUUUCAGUCUGGCCGUCUGUAUGAGGAUGAUAUGCUGAACUGAAAUUCAGAUUUGUACCCAAGGCUUCAUGCAACUGCUGCCAGAAAUGAGAGGUGAAUUGCGUUCCUCUGUCUGACACUAUCUUCUUUGGCACACUAUGAAGGUAAACGAUCCAGGACAUGUAUAGCUCCGCCAAUAUUGCACUGUUGUAGCUAGUCUUGACAGGUAUAAAGUGGGCUGACUUGGUCAAGCGGUCCACCACUACCCAAAUGGAAUUGUAGCCGGCUCGAGUGCGAGGCAAUCCUACUAUGAAUUCCAUCCCGAUUUCAUCCCAUUUCUAUUGAGGAAUUCGCAACAGCUGCAACAAUCCAGCUGGCUUUUGAUGCUCUGCCUUGAUCCUCUUACAACUAUCACAUAUGGACACAUGCUCUGUGAUCUCCCUUUUCAUUCCAUACCACCAGAAUUUCUUCUUAAGAUCUUGAUACAUCUUCUCACUUCCAGGGUGUAUGGAAUAAGUUGUCUCAUGAGCUUCCUUGAGGAUCAAUUCCCGAAUGGACUAGACAUUGGGAACACACAAAUGAUCCUUGAACCAUACCACACCUUCUGCAUCUUCUCGAAAAUCUUUGCCUCUUCCUUCUAGAAUCAGUUGCCGGAUUUCAUUGAUCUUCUCAUCAUUCUUCUGUGUCUCUUUGAUUUCCCACUCUAAGGUGGGUUCUAGCUCAACUGUUACUCCUCGCAUGUUAUUCGGGAAUCCAAGACUCAACCUGUCAAAUUCUUUGGCCAACUCAUAAGGCAUCGGAUGAGUGACCAUCAUAUUGACUUGACUUUUACUGCUUAACACAUCUGCCACCACGUUUGCUUUGCCUGGAUGGUAAUGAAUUUCCAAUUCAUAGUCUUUGAUCAAUUCUAACCACCUUCGCUGUCUCAUAUUCAGCUUCGACUGGGUGAAUAUGUACUUCAGACUCUUGUGGUCUGUGUAGACAUCACAUUUCUGCCCGUAUAGAUAGUGCCUCCAUGUAUUCAGUGCAUGAACCACUGUUGCCAACUCUAGGUCAUGGAUGGGAUAAUUCUUCUCAUGAACCUUCAGCUGUCGGGACGAGUAAGCCACAACUCUCCCCUCUUGCAUCAAUACACAUCCCAAGCCAGUGUAGCAAGCAUCGCAAUACACCGAGAAGGGCUUGUGCACAUCAUGCAAGACUAAGACAGGCGUUGUAGUCAACUUCUCUUUCAGCGCUUCAAAGGCUUCUUGGCACUUCUAGGUUCACUUGAACUCAACCUUGUUGGCUAGCAAAGCUGUCAUUAGUUUCGCAAUCUUCGAAAAUCCUUCAAUGAAUCGCCGAUAAUAUUCGGCCAUUCCAAUGAAGCUCUUGAUUCCUCGGGCAUCUGUUGGAGCUUUCCAGUUCAGAAUAUCUGCCACUUUCUUUGGAUCCACAGCCAGUCCAUCUUUGUUUAUUAUGUGACCCAUGAAUAGGACUUCAUCAAUCCAGAACUCGCACUUACUCAACUUUGCAUACAGCUGGUGCUCUUGCAAUCUCUGCAAUACCAUCUUCAAAUGAUCCACAUGCUCCUCCUCACUUUGAGAAUAUAUAAGAAUGUCAUCAAUAAAUACCACCACAAACUUGUUAAGGUAAUCCAUAAAUACACUGUUCAUCAGAUUGAUGAAGAAGGCUGGUGCAUUUGUUAGGCCAAAAGACAUAACAGUGAACUCAUAUAGCCCAUACUUGGUGAUGAAUGUCGUCUUCGGGAUGUCUGAAGGUCGAAUCCUGAGUUGGUGAUAACCUGACCUCAGAUCUAUUUUUGAGAACACGCUGACUCCUCUCAGUUGGUCGAACAGAUCUUCUAUUCUGGGCAAGGGGUACUUAUUCUUGAUUGUGACCUCAUUCAGAGCUCGAUAAUCGAUGCACAUCCUCCUGGUGCCAUCUUUCUUCUCCACGAAUAGGACAGGGGCGGCCCAAGGUGAGGUGCUUGGUCUGAUGUAACCUUUCUCUAACAUCUCAUCUAUUUGCUUCUUGAGUUCAACCAACUCGGGUCCAGAUACCCUAUAAGCUCUUCUAGAAAUGAGGGCGGUUCCAGGAAGAAGCUCUAUGGCAAACUCAACUUUCCGCUUAGGUGGCAUACCUGGUAAAUCUUUCGGGAACACAUCCAGAAACUCUGACACAACCUUGAUAGUCUCGAGUGAAUCUGCCUCCUUGCUAUCAAUAGCCAUCUGAUGACAACCUCCUUUCCUUGGCUCAGGUGAGACUAACUCAGCCACCACUUCUUCUCCUAGUGGGGACACCAACUUAAUUGUCCUCUUAUCACAGCUGAUAAUUGCUUGGUACUUAUCUAGCCAAUUCAUCCCUAGGAUGACAUCUAUACCCUGAGUACCCAUUACUAUGAGAUUAGCGGGAAACUCUAUCCCCCUUAUUUCCACACUUACAUUCAAGCAAACACUAUCAGCUCGAACUUUACAACCGACUGAAUCAAUUUGAAUGGGUUUUGACAUGGUAGUUAUUGGAAGAUUAUGCGCUUCUACCCAUGAUACAGUAAUAAAUGAAUGUGUUGCUCUAGUAUCAAAUAAUACUUCUGCAAUAUGGGAGUCGACUGGAAACAUACCUACUAUCAUGCCUGGUGUUUCCUAAACUACUUCAGCCUCCAAAUGAUUCAGUCUCCCAGGGUUGUAGCGUGUUUGGACGUGGUUGCCUGCUCCUGACUGAGACACAUUCUGCUUCGCUGGGGCACUAGGGCCUGAUUGCUGCUGAGCUGCCUUCUUUGGACAAUGCAUCACCCAAUGGCCUUGCUCUUCACAAUGGAAACAUGCUCUGCCUCCGCCUUGCACUGGGGCUGCUUGACUACUCUAGUUGGUUGUUGGGGCGAGGAGGCGAGGUGCCUGCUGAUUCUGCCUCUAGAACUGACUUCCUCCUGCCUGACUGUUCUAACGAUUCUGCUGCUGAUGCUGGGGGUACUGCCUCUGAAACUGCUGCUGAGGUGGGCGCUGUUUCUGCUUGAACUGAGGCGGGUUGCCCGAGAAACAGGGGCGAUUGCUGCCUCCAGGCUGAGGCCCACCGAUCUUGCGCUUGCGAUCCUCCAUCUCCUUGUGCUUCUUCUCUAUCAUGAUUGCUUUGUCGAUCAGGUGCUGAAAUGUGGGCAAGGUAUGGUUCAUCAACUAAUAGUGCAGGGGAUCGACUAAGCCUAUCAAGAAAUGAUACUGCCUCUUGGCAUCUAUGCUGACAUCUUUAGGAGCAUAGCGGGAUAGCUGUAGAAACCUGUCUCGGUACUCACUGAUGGACACGGGCCCUUGCUUGAGCGCUAGAAAUUCCUCUUUCUUCACUAUCAUCAGACCUGCUAGAACAUGAUACUGACGAAAAUUAUCUCUAAAUUCCUCCUAGGUGAUGGUGUCAGAGUUGGCGUGGGUGGAGAGGUAGGACUCCCACCAAGAUUGAGCUGCUCCCCUCAACAAACGGGGACCAUACAGAACUUUCUCUCUGUCAUCACACUGAGCGGUGUGCAACUCCCGCUCCACGGUACGCAGCCAAUCUUCAGCAUCCAUGGGGUCAGCAGAGUGAGCGAACACUAGGGGAUGACCUCUCAUGAAUUCAACACACUUGUCCCUAGGCAUCUGAGGCUGAGGUGGGGGCUAUUGCUGCUGCUGCAUAGCGGCUAGAGUCUGACCAAUAGCUUGGACUGUCUGAGUCUGCAUCAAGAACAUCUGCUCUAUCGUCAUCGAGGGCGGUGGUGGCAACUGCUGCUGAGGUGCCUCAUCUUGCGGUGCUGGCUGCUCCUGUUGAGCACACCUUCCUCAUCUGCUCCUAUUGUCUGACAUCUGCAGAAUGCAAUCACACAUCAGAACUGAUCUUGCAAAACUUGCAACAUAAGAAAAGAGUAUAGAAUUCUUCCACAACAUUGAACCGAUGAGUAUCUUCACUGACUCCCAACACAGGCAAGCACAACUUUCCAGAUAAAGAGGUAAGUAGAAUAAAAAUGCUUCCCAACUAGAUAACUAAUUUUAUUAAAAUUAAUAGGUAAACCAAAGUGCAGGGGGGUACCCACACUCUGGCGACAGUCAUUACAAAGAUCCAAAUCCAUCAUAGUUCAUCAUGACAAACAUAAAAACACAGGAUAAGCAAACUACCAUGUCUAACUAAAACUAACUGAGAGUAAGACUAAGGCUAAGACUAAGACUUAUAUUUUAAACAUUAAUUACAAGAUCUGAUGCUGACGAUCUAUGGUUCUAAAUUUAUCCUGGUCCUGCAGUCGGGGUUACUAUAGGCAUGGUGUCCACGCUGAGGUGAGUGGUACGGGUGCUGAGUCCCGACGGGAGCGGGGGAGCCAUCCUCUAGGUGAUGGCGCUCCUCACGCUCAGCCCGCAACUGGGCGAUCUCAGCACGAGCCCUACUCAGCUCAUCUAAAGCAUGGUCCAGCUCCUUGUUUAGCACAGUGGCUAGGUUGACUGUGCUGCUCCACCUAGGAUUGUCCUCACCAACAGGUGAGACAACCAUGCCUCUUGUGCUGCUAGAUGGAUGGCGGGGGUAGUACCUCAGGUCAAGACCAUCGGCCACCCCACCGAGCACUGAGCAGUAGUGCGAAAGAGCACGUCGUGCGGCAUCUUGCAUGGCCGCCUCAGCUGAGUUCCGUUUAGAGAUAGAGUGAUGCUCUGAGCAGACCUCCGCACCCUGGAGACUGUUUUCCGGACGGCGCACUAAACAAGUCGCCUCCCUGUGGUCCGGGUAAACCCCACGACUGUGCUGGAAGACAACACAGCGAUACUCGAUAGACCAGGUACGUCAGUCAAGUGCUUGUCGUAGCAAGGUGUUGAGCGCAUCGUGGAAGUGACACCUACGAGCGGCGUCACGAGUAAUGGGUCGAGCAACCCAUCCCUCCGGCUCCUGCUCCUCUAAAAGGUCGGUGCUAUGGCUCGAGCUACUGUCAUCACCUCCGUCAUCGGGGUCUUCUCCAGCAGCUACUCCAGCGGUCGAGACGCCUAGUGGUGGUGCAGGGGGCGCCUCCAACGGGGGCACAGGAGAGCAGCUCCUCACAGACUCUACCUCCUGCUGAGGCGAGGAAGAAGAGCCCUUCUACUCUAGCUCCUGUUGCUGACGCUCCUGCUCCUCGUGCAAGUGGUGGUGCAGCCUCUCCAAAUGGCUAGACUGACCAGUCACCGGAUGACGAAGCGGAAGCUCCGCGAGACGAGAAGGCAAGAAAGGAAUGACUGACUUCCGUGCGGUGUGUCUAAGACGAGCCAACUACAAAAGACACCAUAAGCAUAAGAGUGAGAAUAGAACUAAUAUGACCAGCAAGUAGACCAUAAAAAAUUAGGAAAUAAAAAUAAACAAAAUUUUCAGCAAGGUAUAAUAUAUAUAAUAAAACAUAAAUUUGGUCGAUAUGACCAACUUUUGAAGGGAUACCAAAGUCAAGGUGAUAAUAGAGGUCUAUAGUCCUUAGAACGACCAUUCUACUAUAGGUUAGCGGUCCUACAGUCAGCAUGACUUUGAUACCGCUUAUGUCACACCCAGUUUUAGAAGGAAAACCGAAUGCGAACCAUGUACGUGCCAAGAUCAUCAAUCCACGCACACAGCAGUUACAUAACCGGACAUCAUCACACAGUGCUCGAAUAAUAACAUAAAAGAUAGUAAUAGUCGAUUACAUCAUGAUGUCCGAGAUGUCCACAUAGUCUUUAACAAUUAUCAAAGUGUGAAAACGAAACGUAGAUACACACGGCCUUCACAGGCAGCCGACUGGGGGUUUGCCGCUAACCCACGCCUAGAACUCAUCGUACACUUGGAACUCUUGGAGGUCUUCUUCACGACUUCAUCUUCUCCUGAGUAGUGGUUGCAAUGUGGACAACCUAGGGGGGUUUGGUGUGUAAAGCAAGGGUGAGUACACAUCAACAUACUCAUCAAUUGUCCCGUUUGGCUGUAGUGGACUAGCUUUAUGUGGGUUAAGUCAAGCAGUUGCUUUUAGUUGGUCAGGUUAUUAUUACUAGUAGAGAGUCAGGUUUUAGCAUUAGCCCAAGUUGUUAACCCAAAAGUACCCUUUCCAAACGGAAAGAGUACCAGAAACCAUUACCAUAAGCAUAAUCAAAACCAUCAUCCUCGUCAUCACCUGUAAACCAAACAUCUCUGAUCAAUGUAUCUCUAAUCAAUGGAGCUCCUUUGGCCGCUCAUAACUACGAGCACUGCUGAUAUAUCAGUUUCAUAACACUCUGUAGAGGUUGCGCACUUUACCCACAAACCGUGAUUCCCUUUUGCCUCGAGCCUAUCAAACCCUUAAACACUACCAAUGUGAACAGGCAGGGUUUCACUACGUAGCAUUUACAAAGAUUCCCUGAGGCUGUAGCCGCCAGUUAGGUUUCCUAAAUGUACCGCACUCCUCCCCAAGGGGCAAUCCACCCUCGAUAGAGCAAGCCGCAUACACCGAGCCUCAUUUACGGCACGACGGCGAAGCGAACUACACCCCAGUUCCUCUAAUUAUUCAGCUAAGGGCGUCCCAUACCACCCUCAUGGUUGCACUGUUUUUCCGGGCGGUCAUCCAACGAACCAGUCCUUAUAAAGAGGCACUCGAGUAACUGCUCGAGUCCCCUUAAAUGCCACAGUAUCAUCAUCAUAAUCAAAAGGGAAAACAACGUAUCAUAAAUAAUCUUAUCAUGUUAAUUGAUUAAUGUGAAGCACUAGCAUCAAGCUAAACCAAAAUAACCCAACCCAAAUAGGUAAACAAGGACAAGAUAAACAAAAGAUAUUCAAUCCUUAGAUAUAAAUUGUGUAAAUGCGGGGAGUGAAUUAUAAAAUGAGUAGGACAUAGGUGGGUCAAGGGACACUUUCCUUCACCAACCAACUGUUGCUCAGGGUCUUCACCUGCAACUGCUUCGGACUCUGCCAAUUGACCGUCAUCUAUACGAGUUCAAACAUACAUUCCACAAAUUCAAUAUAAAAGGAACAAUACACCAGACAGUAAAAUACGAUAAAUAAGCAGAUGCUCGGCACAGGGCUUGCACCUACGACUAAGCGAGAAAGAGAAAGCAACGGUCGAGGCUACGGUCGAAGAGCGAUCACGUUAAGCGUUUAUAGAUUAAAGUAUUCGUCUAAACAUAAUCGUAUUAAUUUGACAAUCACGUUAUGCAUAGAAUAAAGUUACACUACGCGUUUAAUUAUUAUGAACAAUUCAAGGUAAAUUUAAAAGGAUUGUCGCGCGGCGAAACGCUCGACGGCACACACGAACUAAACCGAAAAUAAAAUGAGUCGUCGCGCAGCCAAGCGCGCGACACAACACUUAGACUAAACUAAAAUAAAACGAAUCGUCGUGCGAUGAAGUGCGCAACGAAACACUUGAAUAAAUUAUGAAAAUAAUGUUAAGCGUCGCGCGACGAAGCACACGACAGCAUACGUCACUUAAACUGAAGUUAAAACAAAACGUCGAGCGACUAAACGCGUGACGUCACACAUUAAAUAACCUAAACUUAAAUUGAAUCAUCGCGCGACGAAGCACGCGAUAGCACGUUAAUUAAACUAAAUUUAAAAUUACUUAAACUGAAAUUUAAACGUCGCGCGCGCUAGGGUUGCGCGCGCGGUAACGCGCUGCGCGCCAGGGCCACGCCAGCCGCGUCGGGGCCGCGCGCCGGCGAGGCGCCUCGGAGGCCACGCGCCACGGGGCAAGGGCGGGGGUAGGGGGCCACGCCGCCGCGCCAAGGGGAAGGGAUGGGGGCCACGCGCCGCUGCGUCGAGGAGAGGGGCAAGGGGCCACGCCGUCGCUCCGCCGUGCCAAGGGGAGGGGCGGGGGGCCGCGCGCCACACCGAGGGGCCAGGACAGGGCUGCGCGACGAAGGGCAGGGACGGGGACGCCACGCGCACGGGUGUAACACCCUGAAUUUGGGGCUAUACAAUUUCUUUUCUAAUAUCCACCAAAUUCAGGUGUUACCCUCUUCUUCACUUGCUUUUCUUCUCUUUUUUUGUUUUCAAAUAAUGGACAUUAACUUUAUUGUAUACAUAUAUAUGAGUUAUUGGCGUAGUAAAAUAAAAUCGCGGAGAAGCUUUGAUUGAUGCAUUCAUGUCGUUGCAUAGUGUUUAUGAGUGUAAAGGUUUUUCAAACUAUAUCGAAUUAUCUUGAUCUUGUUCCCGGAGGCUUUUGGGAACCUUCGAAACGUUUAUUCGAGUAUUAAAAUAUGAUUUUUUUUAGUUUUUCUAAUAUUAAUUUAAUACCUAAAAUUUAGUAUUUGCGAAAACAACAAAAUCGUGGAAACUUGAUUAUAUAUAUAUAUAUUCCUCUCGCCGAGUUCGUUGUAGAUCUCGUGUCCUUUUUGCGAGAUCAUUAAAAUGUCUUUCCUCGCAAAAGUCGUGCUGCUCGUGUCUACCCUCGUCGUGCUCGCAAUCGCCUCUCUCGCUCGGUCGCAACGCAAUUGACGACGAGUUUGGCAACCACCUCCCGCGUUCUCUUCUAUAUUUCCACCUAGCCAUCACAUAACCUCUCAUCUCCCUCCUCAGAUCCAGAUCGAGCAAGUCUUCGGUUACCAGGUAUGCUCCUUUCGCCUUCUCUCCCUAUGUUCGUCUCUGUCCGCGUAGGUAGGCCGACCCCGACGGUGUCUUCGUCCCUUGCCCCUGCGCUCCUCCUUGCGCGUGGCGUGGCAGCGCGGCCACGAGGCCAUGGAGCGCAGCCUGGCGCGGCACGCAGCCAGCGCGGCCAGCGGCUCGCGGCCAGCGCGGCGCAACCGCCCGGGCUCGCCCCCUGGCCGCGGCUCCCGGCGCCCAUGCUGUGCCCAAGUCUGCCCUGCGCCCCGUCCCCUCCACACCCUGGACGAACCCAGGCGAGGAGCCCCUCUGCCCUGCUCGAUGCCCCUCCCUCUACUUCCCGUGGCCGCGGUCCCCUCGCCCCUCGUCUUCUCCUCUACAUGCGCAACCGACCUCGAGCCCUGCUCGCGGCGGUGCCGCAGCCAUGGCUGAGCGCCCCCGACGAGCCCCCAAGGUGUGGCAAGGAGGCCAUUUGUGGUGCGCAGGCGAGCCCAGCCCUCCCCAGGCGUAGUCUCCAUGGCCGGCGAGAUCUCCUGCUGGUCAGCUUCCUCUCCUUCUGUUCUUUGUUUCAUCUGUGGAAGAAGAAAAGGCAGUUGUUCGUUCGUGCAACCAGGGUAAAGGAAACGGCCCUUGGGGCCCACCUUGCAUGUGAUUUCCACUGCCCCACGUUUUCUCCUUGCGGUGCGUUUGGAAAAAACCAACGGGGCCCCUCGUAUGCACUGCGUGCCAGGACCAAAGCUGUUGCAUGUGCCACGAUUUUACCAUCCCACAGAUUUUUCUGCGGCCAUGAUCUCUUUGACCCUUCGUGUGGCAACCUAUCGACCAAUCAAACCGCGCCACAUUAUUUUUAAUCCACGACUUAUUAAAUACGCGUUAUCUUUUCACGUCCAAUUUAUUUCGUUCCAGUUGUGUUAGUUUCCUAAUAAAGUCGUGUACACGUUAAAAAUAUAAUUUUGUCGUAGCGCAUGUUUCAGUUAAUUAAUUAAUUAAUGGUUUGUCCGAUGGUUAUUAAAAUAUCAAUUUAAUUUAUAGUUUUAAGUUGCACUUUUAAAAAUAUACGUAAACGUCAUUAAUACCAACACAAAUGUUUUGAUUCAAUACUUGCUUAGUAUAAUCGGGACGUGUGUUUAUUAGUUCUCAUAUGUCAGGUUGUUUAUAAUCCGUAAAAUGUUAUUUAUUCUAUUAUGCGUCGUAAACCUGUUACGUCUCGUUUUAGUCGUGUCAACUUUGUGAUAACGUCGAUUUUGUAUUACUAAUGCUAUCCACUCAUGUCACACGUUUAAUUGAUUAAUUAAUUAUUUAUCCUUUCGGUAUUCUAUAGUAGUUAUUAAAAACGACAUUCUAAUUAAAACUAGUUUAUAGUUUUUAACUCACGCUUUUAUAAAUAUAAAUGUUAACUAGAUUAAUACCAACUUAAACACUUUUCAUUUAAUACUGGUUUACUAUAAACAUGUUAUUUGUUAGCGAUUAUCACGCGUCGUCGCACUAUCUGUACGCUAUUCGCGCGUGAUGUUCUUGUGGCGCGCGUGCUGUUCCCGCAAGUCGUUGCACGUCGUUCGUGUGCCGUUUGCGCGUUAUCGUCGUUCCUUCGCGCGUUCGUGUCGCGCGGCGUCUGCGUGUGAUAAUAAAUUGAUUUCGCUUAUAGACACUCAUAAUAACAAUGUUAAUUCAUCAGGUCGCAUAUUUUAGAUAGUUAACUUAAGAUUUGCUCGACUAAUAAUUAUUAGAUUAAUAUUGUAAUUAGAUUAAAUGUGUAGUGUAGAACUUGCGCUUUUAUAAUAAACAUUAACAUGGCUAAUAUUAACUUAACUACUUAUUUAAUAAUUGUUUAGUAUAAACGCGUCACCUAUUUAGUCUUUCUUGCUUGUCGCGCGAGUUGUUCCGCACGUGGUGUCGUGUUUUUCGCGUUGGUUGCGCGCACUGUUUUCGUGCAUCGUCAGCGUGCUAUGUUGCGUGUGUCUGCGUGUCAUUCGUACGCUGUCAUGCUGUUUCGGGCAUCGUAAAUUCGCCUCGCUUAGAAUAUCUCGUUUUAAUUAAAUUACUUAUUUAACUGACAUUUGUUAGUGUAGCAGAUUAAUCGAACUAAAUAUUAGAUAUAAUUUAUAUUUGAUAAUGUCAAAUUAAAUGUCCUGACUAUUACUUGCGUAGCGUAAACGUUACAACUUCUCGACCGUAGCUUCGACCGUCGCGUUUCUAAUCCCCGCGUAACCGUAGAAGCGCUCUCUAUUUUUAUAUUGCUCGUUUUGAUAAUAUUUUAUCUUGUAUGGUGUAAUGUUUUUAUGCAAGUAUAUGUUUGCUUGUGUCGGUUUGUAUUCGUUGCACGACACGAAUAGAUUGCGAUCUGUUCCCGAGCUUCGAGGAAUCGACGAUCAAGAUUUGGUGAACCACUGGUCCUGAGAUCAAGCUCUUCGAGUUCUACGAGAUUGUAGACCUUGAGCAUCUGUUUGAUGAAGGUAAAUGUCCUCUGACCCAUUAUGUCCUAUUUACUUUAUAAUUCACUGCCCCGCCUUACUUAAUUGAAACCUGAGGAUUGACUAGCUUCAUAUUUACCUUGUCCUUGAUUGCCUUUUUGGGUUACUAUGGUUAGCUUCAUGCUAUUGCUUUACUUUAAUCAAUGAAUAUGAUGUGAAUAUUUACGAUGAUGUUAUCUUGACUAUCAUGAUGAUCUUGUGAUACUUUAGUGGAAUCAGGCCAUUUUCCUGAGUACCUCUCCGUAAGGACCUAUUCGGGGUGUGACAACCCAAGAAAACAGUGCAACCAUGAUAGUGGUAUGGGACGCCCUUGGCCAAGUAAUUAGGGGAGUCUUAUGUUGGGUGCUGGUUUUGGUCAUUGGGAACGGAGACAUCUGUUAUGGCUCCUAUAUUCUCGCUCAGGGAUCUGGGUACGGGCAUCGUCCCAUGGCUUUUUCCUGAGGGCAGAGAUAUAGGUUUUGGGACGUCAGAUGGACUUUAUGCAAUGGUCAUUUCCAACAUUCACAUAGUGAGGACCCUAGGGAAAAGCCACGUAGUGAGACCCUACCAGUUCACCUUGGAAGUGAUCAAUGUGGAGUCGUGAAAGGGAAUCACGACUCAUGGGUAAAGUGUGCAACCUCUACAGAGUGUUAUGAAACUGAUAUAUCAGCCGUGCUCAUGGUUAAGAGCGACCUUGGGAUCCUCUUUGAUUAGAGAUACAAAUGAUCUGAGAUUCAAUGGAUCUAUUUAUGGUUUUGGUUCAAUGAUGAUAAUGAUGUUCCUCGAUGAGGAAAUGAUUCACGGGUUGGUUAUUGCUAAAACUCGGCUUCCACUAAUAAUAAGUACCUGACCAACUAAAAGCAACUUCUUGAGCUUAACCCCACAUAAAGCUUGUCCACCUCAGCCAAACGGGACAUUUGCUGAGUACGUUGAUGUGUACUCACCCUUGCUUUCAUAAAACACCAGGUUGCCUUUGGUGCAAUCUAUGCUCAGGUAAAGAAGAAGGCGUCAAGGCAGAUCUCCAGGAGUUCCAGGACUUCGUCGAGUUCGAGGAUUAGGCUAGCGACCUCCCCCAGUCAACUGCCUGUGUUGGGUUGUUUACGUUGGCUACGUUUCGAUUCUGUGUACUUUGAUUCAUAUUAUGUAAAUGACUCUAGUUUGUAGUAUUAUUACUUACUCUUUAUUGUUAUUCGAAGCAUUGUGCUAUGAUGAGUCAUUUAUGUAAUCGUUGUGUACGUGAAUUUCUGAUCCUGGCAAGUAUAUGGUUCGCUUUGGUUUACCUUCCAAAACCGGGGGUAACAUAAGUGGUAUCAAAGCCCUUGCUGACUGUAGGGCCGCUAUCCUAGAGUAGCAUUGGUCGUUUUAAGGACUUAUUGAUUAUUACUUCACCUCAUCCUUGAUGCUGUUUCAAAAU